UACAGAGGGUGCAAGCGUUAAUCGGAAUUACUGGGCGUAAAGGGCGCGUAGGCGGUUUUAUGGGUGUGAUGUGAAAGCCCCGGGCUUAACCUGGGAAGUGCAUCGCAAACUAUGGAACUGGAGUAUAUGAGAGGGUGGCGGAAUUUCCGGUGUAGCGGUGAAAUGCGUAGAGAUCGGAAGGAACGUCGAUGGCGAAGGCAGCCACCUGGCAUAAUACUGACGCUGAGGCGCGAAAGCGUGGGGAGCGAACAGG
rnacentral:rRNA from 1 species